CACGUAGGGCGCGAGCGUUGUCCGGAAUUAUUGGGCGUAAAGAGCUCGUAGGCGGCCUGUUGCGUCCGCUGUGAAAGCCCGGGGCUUAACCCCGGGUCUGCAGUGGAUACGGGCAGGCUAGAGGUAGGUAGGGGAGAAUGGAAUUCCCGGUGUAGCGGUGAAAUGCUUAGAUAUCGGGAGGAACACCGGUGGCGAAGGCGGUUCUCUGGGCCUUACCUGACGCUGAGGAGCGAAAGCGUGGGGAGCGAACAGG
rnacentral:rRNA from 1 species